GUAGGAGGGAUCCGGUAGGGAGCCAGCACCAGGCCAUCUUUUAAAGAAAUAAGCUCAUCCUUAGGUGCACUCCCAUCCUCCAGAUCCAUCCAAGAUCUCUGUGUCUACUGGCCUCACUUCGAUAAAUCUGAUAGAGAUCAACCAUCACAACCCUCAGAGUACAAGAACGACCCCAUAUCCUGAUGUUCGGACUACUAAAGAUGGGAGUCGCAAGGGACAAAAUUCACUCCCUCGAUUGCCCGCCAAGUAGCUGAGGCACAAUUGUCGGAUCCCACCCCCUACCAUUAGAGUGGUGAAGA
rnacentral:lncRNA from 1 species